GUAGGUGGCAAGCGUUGUCCGGAAUUAUUGGGCGUAAAGCGCGCGCAGGCGGUUCUUUAAGUCUGAUGUGAAAGCCCACGGCUCAACCGUGGAGGGUCAUUGGAAACUGGAGAACUUGAGUACAGAAGAGGAAAGCGGAAUUCCACGUGUAGCGGUGAAAUGCGUAGAGAUGUGGAGGAACACCAGUGGCGAAGGCGGCUUUCUGGUCUGUAACUGACGCUGAGGCGCGAAAGCGUGGGGAGCAAACAGGGAUUAGAUACCCUGGUAGUCCACGCCGUAAACGGUGAGUGCUAAGUGUUAGGGGGGUUUCCCGCCCCCUUAGUGCUGCAGCUAAACGCAUUAAGCACUCCGCCUGGGGAGUACGGCCGCAAGGCUG
rnacentral:rRNA from 1 species